GUAAUGAGAUCUGAUCUGAUGCCCU
rnacentral:misc_RNA from 1 species